ACCAAUUCUAGCCCUAAAAUUUAUUCAUAUAACUAUUUAUAUCUACAAACUAAACCAUUUAACCAAUUAAAGUAUUGGAGAAAGAAAUUAACCUCUAGGAGCUAUAGAACAAGUACCGUAAGGGAAAGAUGAAAGAACACUUAAAAGUAAAAACAAGCAAAGAUAAACCCUUGUACCUUUUGCAUAAUGAGUUAACUAGAAAGAACCUAACUUAAUGAAUUAAAGCUAGGUACCCCGAAACCAAACGAGCUACCUAAAAACAAUUUUAAGAAUCAACCCGUCUAUGUAGCAAAAUAGUGGGAAGAUUUUUAGGUAGAGGUGAAAAGCCUAACGAGCUUGGUGAUAGCUGGUUACCCAAAAAAUGAAUCUAAGUUCAACUUUAAAUUUACUACAAAAACAUACAAAUCCUCACGUAAAUUUAAAUUAUAGCCAAAAGAGGGACAGCUCUUUAGGAACGGAAAAAACCUUAAUUAGUGAAUAAACAACUAUUCAAUUAAACCAUUGUAGGCCUAAAAGCAGCCAUCAAUAAAGAAAGCGUUCAAGCUCAACAUUUAAACCAACUAAUUCAACUAAUAAAAAUGAAUUCCUAUAAUGAAAAUUGGGUUAAUCUAUUAUCUUAUGGAUGAAAUACUGUUAAUAUGAGUAACAAGAAAUAAUUCUCCAAGCACAAGUGUAUAACAACUCGGAUAACCAUUGUUAGUUACAGGAAUAUAGAUGAUAAACCUCUAAUUAAUAAUCUAAACUUCAACCGUUAAUCCAACACAGGCGUGCUCAAAGGAAAGAUUAAAAAGAAUAAAAGGAACUCGGCAAACACGAACCCCGCCUGUUUACCAAAAACAUCACCUCUAGCAUAAAAAGUAUUAGAGGCAUUGCCUGCCCAGUGACAAAAGUUAAACGGCCGCGGUAUCCUGACCGUGCAAAGGUAGCAUAAUCACUUGUUCCUUAAUUAGGGACUAGCAUGAAUGGCUAAACGAGGGUUCAACUGUCUCUUACUCUCAAUCAGUGAAAUUGACCUUCCAGUGAAGAGGCUGGAAUAACCUAAUAAGACGAGAAGACCCUAUGGAGCUUAAAUUAACUAGCUUAAUUUCUACAAUCUAACCUAAUGGACCAAACAACAAAAAAAAAUAAGCUAGCAAUUUCGGUUGGGGUGACCUCGGAGAACAAAAAAACCUCCGAAUGAUUAUAGCUUAGACUUACAAGUCGAAGCAACACCUAAAAUCUUAUUGAUCCAAAACCUUUUGAUCAACGGACCAAGUUACCCUAGGGAUAACAGCGCAAUCCUAUUUAAGAGUCCAUAUCGACAAUUAGGGUUUACGACCUCGAUGUUGGAUCAGGACAUCCCAAUGGUGCAGAAGCUAUUAAUGGUUCGUUUGUUCAACGAUUAAAGUCCUACGUGAUCUGAGUUCAGACCGGAGUAAUCCAGGUCGGUUUCUAUCUAUUAACAAUUUUUCCCAGUACGAAAGGACAAGAAAAAUAGAGCCUACUUUACAAAAGCGCCCUCAACCUAAUUUAUGAAUACAAUCUUAAUACUGUAUGCAUGUUCAACCUCAACAACCUAGACAAGGUA
rnacentral:rRNA from 1 species